rnacentral:lncRNA from 1 species
CAGCAACACUUGCAAGUUUGAGCCCAGAAACUCGCGACAAAGAGCAGGAGGGUGGGGAGGUUCAAGGGAGCUGGUGGAGAUCAAGAGGUAAGGGUCGGGAAAGGAACUUAUGAUCUGAUCCUUAAACUAGAGGAUUUGGUAUACUAGGGAUCCUCAGACUCAAUCGCUGAAGGGUUCCCAAGUUUUACACAUACACCCUCGGGUUGAAGAAAAAGGUCACAACCGAGCCCUCGGGCGAGGCGGAUAAGGGUCGGUGGAACAGAUAGGGUCGGGCGAGACGGAAC